AGCAACGCGGAAGUUUGUCUCAUUUAUUCAACGCUAUUUUAUUUUACUGUUUGUCAACAGUAAAAAUAUCCAAAUUCGUUGAAUAUGGUGUAAGACGCCUCGUGAAUCUAAUAGACUUCAGAUUCAAAUGGAUUUAUUGCUGGUAAUGUAAGCUGAAGUCCUGUGGCAGUCAUAUCAGGCUGCAGCUGCCGGGAGACAUGGAGGAGCUCUACACUUUAGAGAGGGAAGUAGGAAGAGGCAGCUAUGGUGUGGUCUUUGAGGGACAUAUGGCCAAAACAGGACAGAGGGUGGCUAUUAAGCGACUUCCCUGCAGCAACCCGGAGUGCAUUGAACUCUACCUGCAAGAGCUCUGGGCCAUGAGAUCCACAGCCAAGAACCAUAUCAAUAUAAUUGCACUCCACAGCUGCCUUCUGCAGACGGGGCCAAGGAGCCUGAAGCCCCUAAAACCGGGAAAACUCCCUCUACGUCUUGUUGAGAGCGUGCUGAAGGGCAGUGUAGUCGGAGCACCACAAUGUCAAGAAAGGAGCAGCUCCCAGUCUAACACCCAGAGGAGGAUCAAUUCUGUCUCCAGGCUUCAGGACAGGACCAACACCAUCCAGGCCAGGGCCAAGCUCCAGAACAAGACUAAAUCAAAUGCAUCUGAUGCUAUAACUCCACAAAGGCCUCAAAACAGAGCCAGGAAGAGACCAGCCCAGAGGGAGGAAGAGGAGUCUGGAUCCCUGCGCUGCUUGGCCCUGUGGCUUGUGAUGGAGUACUGUGAUGGGGGUGACUUGAAUCAGUACCUGCUCUCCAGGCCACCGGACGCCCAGCGUAACCACAGCGUGGUGCGACAGCUCUGCAGUGCCGUGGCUUUCCUGCAUAACCUGGGUAUCACUCACCGAGACCUGAAGCCUGACAAUGUGCUGGUCUGUGUGACACCCAGAGGCCCUGUUGUCAAGGUGGCAGACUUUGGUCUAAGCAAAAUGAGUGAAGGUCUGGUGGACGGUGAUCUGACCAGGCAGCACUUCUCCUCCACCUGUGGCUCUGACUUCUACAUGGCUCCAGAGGUUUGGGGUGGAUUGACCUACACAGCCCAGGCAGACAUCUUCUCCCUGGGUGUGAUAUUCUGGGCUGUCCUUGAGAGAAUCACCUUUGUGGAAGAAGGGACCACGCAGGAGCAACUGGGUGCCUAUGUGUGCAAGGGUCGCUCAGGCUGGUUGAUGCCGCUGGGGGAAGCUUUGUGGGAGAACGCCGACCUCCAGCUGUGCAUUCCUAUGAAGUUUAAGAGAGCGCCCCCGCUGCCACCCCCUCCCGGUCCAGCCAUGUGCAUCCUGCUUUUAGACAUGCUCGCCUCAAACCCGGAUGCCCGUCCCCCAGCAGACCAGCUGGGGGCCAGAGUGCACUCUGCUCUGAAAGAGGACUCCCACUGACAGAAAGUGGGCUAAAGAGACCAUAAUGGCUAUAACCACCGUAGCCGCUACAUGGAAGUAUUGACCGUAGACCCCCUGACUGCAGUGCUUCCUACAUGUAUUCAUGCUGUGCAGUUUUGCUGAAGCGGAGACAGUGAUCCACAAAAAGGCCUUUAUGAUUUCAUUGACAUAAAAGCAACAAUCCCCCCACCUGUUUUCUCAGCCUGUCCUUGUGCUGAGACGACUGAGCUCAGCAGCGUCCGUGAUGUGGACGUCAAGAGGCCAUUUAAGCUAGUGAGACCAGAUCACCUGACCUCUCUGCUCCCAGCUCAAUGAGGUCGCCUCUGACAGAUCUGCGACCUUUAACUGGCGUGAGUGAAUCCUCACGCUCUGCUGGCCAGCCAGCAGCUCAGUGCUGAACGUGUUACAGGUAUGGUGAGAAAAUGCUUUCAUACAAGUUCAACGUGGGUCUGGUGAAUGAUUUGGAAGAAGUCCUAAAUACAGUGAGCACAUGCCCAUAUGUGAAAUUGUAAGCAUGAAGUGGUGCCUUUACAGCACGACUUUGCUGUUUGGUGCAGAAGUGCAUUCAUGAAUUUAGCCAAAGCCUCAGCAGUCUGAGUUAGUCACAUCAAGCACUGUAAGUAUUCUUCUGGUCUUUCCUGCAUGAAAGUCCCUGUUUCUCACUGAGCUGCAUGAAAGGAUGGUAACACAGAGGCUAAAGAGACUGUCUUCAGAAGGUGCCAACUUGAUCUGGCUGCUCGUACUCGACUUCAGAGUGCAUUGAGGAGGACUGUGGAUUUGGUCGCCCAUUUCUCAUAAUUGGAAUUG